AAUGAACGCUGGCGGCGCGCCUAAUACAUGCAAGUCGAGCGAGAAGACGUAGCAAUACGUUUGUAAAGCGGCGAACGGGUGAGGAAUACAUGGGUAACCUACCCUCGAGUGGGGAGUAACUAGCCGAAAGGUUAGCUAAUACCGCGUACGCUUCUUGGACUUCGGUUCAGGGAGGAAAGCGAUACCGUGGGUAUCGCGCUCUUGGAUGGGCUCAUGUCCUAUCAGCUUGUUGGUGAGGUAACGGCUCACCAAGGCUUCGACGGGUAGCUGGUCUGAGAGGACGAUCAGCCACACUGGCACUGCGACACGGGCCAGACUCCUACGGGAGGCAGCAGUAAGGAAUAUUGCGCAAUGGGCGAAAGCCUGACGCAGCGACGCCGCGUGGGGGAUGAAGGUCUUCGGAUUGUAAACCCC
rnacentral:rRNA from 1 species